rnacentral:rRNA from 1 species
AGCGAACGCUGGCGGCAGGCCUAACACAUGCAAGUCGAACGAACUCUUCGGAGUUAGUGGCGGACGGGUGAGUAACACGUGGGAACGUGCCUUUAGGUUCGGAAUAACUCAGGGAAACUUGUGCUAAUACCGAAUGUGCCCUUCGGGGGAAAGAUUUAUCGCCUUUAGAGCGGCCCGCGUCUGACUAGCUAGUUGGUGAGGUAAAGGCUCACCAAGGCGACGAUCAGUAGCUGGUCUGAGAGGAUGAUCAGCCACAUUGGGACUGAGACACGGCCCAAACUCCUACGGGAGGCAGCAGUGGGGAAUCUUGCGCAAUGGGCGAAAGCCUGACGCAGCCAUGCUGCGUGAAUGAUGAAGGUCUUAGGAUUGUAAAAUUCUUUCACCGGGGACGAUAAUGACGGUACCCGGAGAAGAAGCCCCGGCUAACUUCGUG